rnacentral:rRNA from 1 species
CCUACGGGUGGCAGCAGUGAGGAAUAUUGGUCAAUGGACGAGAGUCUGAACCAGCCAAGUAGCGUGAAGGAUGACUGCCCUAUGGGUUGUAAACUUCUUUUAUAUGGGAAUAAAAUGAUCCACGUGUGGGAUUUUGUAUGUACCUUAUGAAUAAGGAUCGGCUAACUCCGUGCCAGCAGCCGCGGUAAUACGGAGGAUCCGAGCGUUAUCCGGAUUUAUUGGGUUUAAAGGGAGCGUAGAUGGAUUGUUAAGUCAGUUGUGAAAGUUUGCGGCUCAACCGUAAAAUUGCAGUUGAUACUGGCAGUCUUGAGUACAGUAGAGGUGGGCGGAAUUCGUGGUGUAGCGGUGAAAUGCUUAGAUAUCACGAAGAACUCCGAUUGCGAAGGCAGUUCACUGGACUGCAACUGACACUGAGGCUCGAAAGUGUGGGUAUCAAACAGGAUUAGAUACCCCAGUAGUC